UACGUAGGGGGCUAGCGUUGUCCGGAAUCAUUGGGCGUAAAGCGCGCGUAGGCGGCCCGAUAAGUCUGCUGUGAAAGUCCAGGGCUCAACCCUGGAGUGCCGGUGGAUACUGUCGGGCUAGAGUUCGGAAGAGGCAAGUGGAAUUCCUGGUGUAGCGGUGAAAUGCGUAGAUAUCAAGAGGAACACCUGCGGCGAAGGCGGGUUGCUGGGCCGACACUGACGCUGAGGCGCGAAAGCCAGGGGAGCGAACGGG
rnacentral:rRNA from 1 species